rnacentral:rRNA from 1 species
UGGGGAAUAUUGGACAAUGGGCGAAAGCCUGAUCCAGCAAUGCCGCGUGAGUGAUGAAGGCCCUAGGGUUGUAAAGCUCUUUUACCCGCGAUGAUAAUGACAGUAGCGGGAGAAUAAGCUCCGGCUAACUCCGUGCCAGCAGCCGCGGUAAUACGGAGGGAGCUAGCGUUGUUCGGAAUUACUGGGCGUAAAGCGCGCGUAGGCGGCUUUUCAAGUCAGAGGUGAAAUCCCGGGGCUCAACCCCGGAACUGCCUUUGAAACUGAAUUGCUAGAAUCUUGGAGAGGCGAGUGGAAUUCCGAGUGUAGAGGUGAAAUUCGUAGAUAUUCGGAAGAACACCAGUGGCGAAGGCGACUCGCUGGACAAGUAUUGACGCUGAGGUGCGAAAGCGUGGGGAGCAAACAGGAUUAGAUACCCCCGUAGUCC